rnacentral:rRNA from 1 species
GAUGAACGCUAGCGGGAGGCCUAACACAUGCAAGCCGAGCGGUAUUGUUUCUUCGGAAAUGAGAGAGCGGCGUACGGGUGCGGAACACGUGUGCAACCUGCCUUUAUCUGGGGGAUAGCCUUUCGAAAGGAAGAUUAAUACUCCAUAAUAUAUUGAACGGCAUCGUUUAAUAUUGAAAGCUCCGGCGGAUAGAGAUGGGCACGCGCAAGAUUAGCUAGUUGGUGAGGUAACGGCUCACCAAGGCGAUGAUCUUUAGGGGGCCUGAGAGGGUGAUCCCCCACACUGGUACUGAGACACGGACCAGACUCCUACGGGAGGCAGCAGUGAGGAAUAUUGGUCAAUGGGUGCAAGCCUGAACCAGCCAUCCCGCGUGAAGGACGACUGCCCUAUGGGUUGUAAACUUCUUUUGUAUAGGGAUAAACCUACCCUCGUGAGGGUAGCUGAAGGUACUAUACGAAUAAGCACCGGCUAACUCCGUGCCAGCAGCCGCGGUAAUACGGAGGGUGCAAGCGUUAUCCGGAUUUAUUGGGUUUAAAGGGUCCGUAGGCGGACUUAUAAGUCAGUGGUGAAAGCCUGUCGCUUAACGAUAGAACUGCCAUUGAUACUGUAAGUCUUGAGUAUAUUUGAGGUAGCUGGAAUAAGUAGUGUAGCGGUGAAAUGCAUAGAUAUUACUUAGAACACCAAUUGCGAAGGCAGGUUACCAAGAUAUAACUGACGCUGAGGGACGAAAGCGUGGGGGGCGAACAGGAUUAGAUACCCUGGUAGUCCACGCCGUAAACGAUGCUAACUCGUUUUUGGGCUUUAGGGUUCAGAGACCAAGCGAAAGUGAUAAGUUAGCCACCUGGGGAGUACGCUCGCAAGAGUGAAACUCAAAGGAAUUGACGGAGGCCCGCACAAGCGGUGGAUUAUGUGGUUUAAUUCGAUGAUACGCGAGGAACCUUACCAAGACUUAAAUGGGAAUUGACAGCUUUAGAAAUAGAGCUUUCUUCGGACAAUUUUCAAGGUGCUGCAUGGUUGUCGUCAGCUCGUGCCGUGAGGUGUUAGGUUAAGUCCUGCAACGAGCGCAACCCCUGUCACUAGUUGCCAUCAUUCAGUUGGAGACUCUAGUGAGACUGCCUACGCAAGUAGAGAGGAAGGUGGGGAUGACGUCAAAUCAUCACGGCCCUUACGUCUUGGGCCACACACGUAAUACAAUGGCCGGUACAGAGGGCAGCUACACAGCGAUGUGAUGCAAAUCUCGAAAGCCGGUCUCAGUUCGGAUUGGAGUCUGCAACUCGACUCUAUGAAGCUGGAAUCGCUAGUAAUCGCGCAUCAGCCAUGGCGCGGUGAAUACGUUCCCGGGCCU